rnacentral:rRNA from 1 species
UAAUACCGCAUAGUAUCGAAAGAUUAAAGCAGCAAUGCGCUUGGGGAUGGGCUCGCGGCCUAUUAGUUAGUUGGUGAGGUAACGGCUCACCAAGGCGAUGACGGGUAGCCGGUCUGAGAGGAUGUCCGGCCACACUGGAACUGAGACACGGUCCAGACACCUACGGGUGGCAGCAGUCGAGAAUCAUUCACAAUGGGGGAAACCCUGAUGGUGCGACGCCGCGUGGGGGAAUGAAGGUCUUCGGAUUGUAAACCCCUGUCAUGUGGGAGCAAAUUAAAAAGAUAGUACCACAAGAGGAAGAGACGGCUAACUCUGUGCCAGCAGCCGCGGUAAUACAGAGGUCUCAAGCGUUGUUCGGAAUCACUGGGCGUAAAGCGUGCGUAGGCUGUUUCGUAAGUCGUGUGUGAAAGGCGCGGGCUCAACCCGCGGACGGCACAUGAUACUGCGAGACUAGAGUAAUGGAGGGGGAACCGGAAUUCUCGGUGUAGCAGUGAAAUGCGUAGAUAUCGAGAGGAACACUCGUGGCGAAGGCGGGUUCCUGGACAUUAACUGACGCUGAGGCACGAAGGCCAGGGGAGCGAAAGGGAUUAGAUACCCCUGUAGUCCUGGCAGUAAACGGUGCACGCUUGGUGUGCGGGGAAUCGACCCCCUGCGUGCCGGAGCUAACGCGUUAAGCGUGCCGCCUGGGGAGUACGGUCGCAAGAUUAAAACUCAAAGAAAUUGACGGGGACCCGCACAAGCGGUGGAGUAUGUGGCUUAAUUCGAUGCAACGCGAAGAACCUUACCUGGGCUUGACAUGUAAUGAACAACAUGUGAAAGCAUGCGACUCUUCGGAGGCGUUACACAGGUGCUGCAUGGCCGUCGUCAGCUCGUGUCGUGAGAUGUUUGGUUAAGUCCAGCAACGAGCGCAACCCCUGUUGCCAGUUACCAGCACGUGAAGGUGGGGACUCUGGCGAGACUGCCCAGAUCAACUGGGAGGAAGGUGGGGACGACGUCAGGUCAGUAUGGCCCUUAUGCCCAGGGCUGCACACGUACUACAAUGCCCAGUACAGAGGGGGCCGAAGCCGCGAGGCGGAGGAAAUCCUGAAAACUGGGCCCAGUUCGGACUGUAGGCUGCAACCCGCCUACACGAAGCCGGAAUCGCUAGUAAUGGCGCAUCAGCUACGGCGCCGUGAAUACGUUCCCGGGUCUUGUACACACCGCCCGUCACAUCAUGGAAGCCGGUCGCACCCGAAGUAUCUGAAGCCAACCGCAAGGAGGCAGGGUCCUAAGGUGAGACUGGUAACUGGGAUGAAGUCGUAACAAGGUAGCCGUAGGGGAACCUGCGGCUGGAUCACCUCCUUUCUAUGGA